CCUACGGGUGGCAGCAGUGGGGAAUAUUGCACAAUGGGGGAAACCCUGAUGCAGCGACGCCGCGUGAGUGAAGAAGUAAUUCGUUAUGUAAAGCUCUAUCAGCAGGGAAGAAAAUGACGGUACCUGAGUAAGAAGCCCCGGCUAACUACGUGCCAGAAGCCGCGGUAAUACGUAGGGGGCAAGCGUUCUCCGGAUUUACUGGGGGGAAAGGGAGCGUAGACGGCAGUGCAAGGCUGGAGGGAAAGGCGGGGGCUCAACCCCCGGACUGCUCUGGAAACUGUACGGCUGGAGUGCAGGAGAGGUAAGUGGAAUUCCAAGUGAAGCGGUGAAAUGCGUAGAUAUUAGGAGGAACACCAGUGGCGAAGGCGGCUUACUGGACCGUAACUGACGUUGAGGCUCGAAAGCGUGGGGAGCAAACAGGAUUAGAUACCCUUGUAGUC
rnacentral:rRNA from 1 species